AAUUCUUGUUAGCUGACCCAGCCAAUCAGCUCUGUUGGCCAACCAGCUCAUGUGAGUCUAUGUUCAGACAUUUCAAGAACAUCUGUGUUUUCUGUUUCUUGUAAAGUGCUGGCUGAACCUUUAUUUAACUUCUGCAGGUCUAACUGGUCUAACUCUCCCUCUGGUCUAACUCUCCCCCUGGUCUAACUCUCCCUCUGGUCUAACUCUCCCUCUGGUCUAACUCUCCCUCUGGUCUCUGGUCUAACUCUCCCUCUGGUCUAACUCUCCCUCUGGUCUAACUCUCCCUCUGGUCUAACUCUCCCUCUGGUCUAACCAACUGCUCUCCCUCUGGUCUAACUCUCCCUCUGGUCUAACUCUCCCUCUGGUCUAACCAACUGCUCUCCAAGGAUGGUCACCAGCCUAUAUCUCUCUUCUAUCCCUCAUUCCAACCCCCCCUUCCUCUCUUCCGCUCCAGGGUCAGAGAGACAUCAACCCAUCUCUCUUCCAUUCCUCUUUCUCUUCUCUUCCUCCUCCUCCAGGGUGAGUAUAAUUUUCUUUGGAGUCAGAGAACCUUCACCACGUAGAGCAGGUCUUGUUGGGGAACGCUCUACGCCAUCACUGUCUGCUUCACCUGUGACCCCACCCACGCCAUCGCAGACCCCGCCAUGCCCAUCACCUCUGUGUGACAGUGUCACCUGUAGACCUGGAGGACUCCUACAACAGAGGGAGAGGAGGUCGGGAAGGGAGAGAGUGCUGAUCACAUCACUGACGGUAGAGGCGAGGAGAAGGACAAAGGAGAAGACGUUAUGAAAAUGAUUAAAAUACACACGGGUCAGUUUUCCAUACUCCAGUUCCACCCUUCUCCAUCAUGGGCUACAAAACCAAAACUGUCUCUGGAUCAGUCUUUCCAUGCCCGUUUUAUCAGUGGCAAAGGAAACAAGGUUGUACUGCUACUCCAUCACAUUCCACUUACUAUACAGCAUGUUCUUCAGUCUAAAUAAAGUUAUAUCAAUGUUUUAUC